AGCCUCAUCAACUGGAAUGAAUCCCUUCCAGUCGAUGAGGUUGUUAUACCUCAUCAACCGGAAGGAACCCCUUCCGGUUGAUGAGGUU
rnacentral:miRNA from 1 species